AGUGAACGCUGGCGGUAGGCCUAACACAUGCAAGUCGAACGGCAGCACAGUAAGAGCUUGCUCUUACGGGUGGCGAGUGGCAGACGGGUGAGGAAUACAUCGGAAUCUACUUUUUCGUGGGGGAUAACGUAGGGAAACUUACGCUAAUACCGCAUACGACCUACGGGUGAAAGCAGUGGAUCUUCGGACCUUGCGCGAUUGAAUGAGCCGCUGUCGGAUUAGCUAGUUGGCGGGGUAAAUGCCCACCAAGGCGACGAUCCGUAGCUGGUCUGAGAGGAUGAUCACCCACACUGGAGCUGGGACACGGUCCUGACUCCUACGGGAGGCAGCAGUGGGGAAUAUUAGACAAUGGGCGCAAGCAUGAUCCAGCCAUACCGCGUGGGUGAAGAAGGCCUUCGGGUUGUAAAGCCCUUUUGUUGGGAAAGAAAAGCAGCAGGUUAAUACCCCGCUGUUCUGACGGUACCCAAAGAAUAAGCACCGGCUAACUUCGUG
rnacentral:rRNA from 1 species